CCUACGGGAGGCAGCAGUAAGGAAUAUUGGUCAAUGGACGCAAGUCUGAACCAGCCAUGCCGCGUGAAGGAUUAAGGCCCUCUGGGUUGUAAACUUCUUUUAUAGGGGACGAAAAAAGGGCAUUCUUGCUCACUUGACGGUACCCUAGGAAUAAGCACCGGCUAACUCCGUGCCAGCAGCCGCGGUAAUACGGAGGGUGCAAGCGUUAUCCGGAUUUACUGGGUUUAAAGGGUGCGUAGGUGGGUUGGUAAGUCAGUGGUGAAAUCUUCGAGCUUAACUCGGAAACUGCCAUUGAUACUAUCAAUCUUGAAUCAUCUAGAGGUAAGCGGAAUAUGUCAUGUAGCGGUGAAAUGCUUAGAUAUGACAUAGAACACCAAUUGCGAAGGCAGCUUACUAUGGAUGUAUUGACACUGAGGCACGAAAGCGUGGGGAUCAAACAGGAUUAGAUACCCUGGUAGUCCACGCCCUAAACGAUGGAUACUCGACAUUUGUGAUAUACUAUAAGUGUNUGAGNGAAGANAUAAGUAUACCACCUACGGAAGUACGACCGACGAGUAGUAACGUACAAAGUAGAAGUUAGUACGGCGUGAGACGUAGACCGACGGACGACGACGAGGGGAGGUUAGG
rnacentral:rRNA from 1 species